GACGAACGCUGGCGGCGUGCUUAACACAUGCAAGUCGAACGGAAAGGCCCGGCGUUUGUGGGGUGCUCGAGUGGCGAACGGGGGAGUAACACGUGAGGAACCUGCCCCUGACUUUGGGAGAACUUCAGGAAAAUGGGGCUAAUACAGGAGAGGAGCUCCUGCUGCAUGGGGGGGGAUGGAAAGUUUCGGCGGUGGGGGAUGGACUCGCGGCUUAUCCGCUUGUUGGGGGGGUAGGGGCUGCCAAAGGCUUUGAAGGGUAGCCGGCCUGGGAGGGUGGCCGGCCACCUUGGGACUGAGAUACGGCCCAGACUCCUACGGGAGGCAGCAGUGGGGAGUAUUGCGCAGUGGGCGGACGCCUGAUGCAGCAGCGCCGCGUGCGGAAUGACGUCCUUCUGGUUGUAAACCGCUUUGGCCUGUGCCGAAGCGUGAGUGACGGUAAUGGGUAAAGAAGCACCGGCUAACUACGUG
rnacentral:rRNA from 1 species